rnacentral:rRNA from 1 species
AUUGAACGCUGGCGGAAUGCUUUACACAUGCAAGUCGGGCGGCAGCGCGGGGGCAACCCUGGCGGCGAGCGGCGAACGGGUGAGUAACACAUCGGAACGUACCCUGUCGUGGGGGAUAACGAAUCGAAAGAUUCGCUAAUACCGCAUACGACCUGAGGGUGAAAGCGGGGGAUCGCAAGACCUCGCGCGAGAGGAGCGGCCGAUGGCGGAUUAGCUAGUUGGUGGGGUAACGGCUUACCAAGGCUUCGAUCCGUAGCUGGUCUGAGAGGACGAUCAGCCACACUGGGACUGAGACACGGCCCAGACUCCUACGGGAGGCAGCAGUGGGGAAUCUUGCGCAAUGGGGGCAACCCUGACGCAGCCAUGCCGCGUGAAUGAUGAAGGCCUUAGGGUUGUAAAGUUCUUUUGCCCGUGACGAUGAUGACGGUAACGGGAGAAUAAGCUCCGGCUAACUUCGUGCCAGCAGCCGCGGUAAGUGACGUCAGA